UCCAAUCCUCCAGCUGUGAAAGAAAAGCCCUCAAACCAAAUCCUCAGGUAAAAGUACAGUCCGACCAAAGUUGGAUCCAGGUUCUCCUUGAUGGAAGCGUCAGGACGGACGGAGCGUCACUAACGUGUCCAGCAGAGAGCCGCUGCUCACUGCGCCCUCUGUUCUCUACACUGUAAAACAUCAGGGGGUCAAAUCAGCUGUUGCUGCUAAAGCGCUGCUGGUCACACACAGGCAAACAGAAAUGCUGUCCACCGUCUGUGUCGGCCUCCAGGGUAAAGACAACUGAGACGCCCGUUUGUGUGGAUGAAUCCCGUACAGGUCACCUUCAGCGGAUUUUCACACCUGUGUCAUCAGCAGAAUGAGAGAUCCACGCACAGACCGAUGCACCAGAGCGCACGCCAUCACGUCUCAGGUAGGAAAGGCCACACACGAGCUAACGCUCCCACACAGCUGCAGCAGUUUACCUGUGGUCAUGAGCAGCAACCAGAGAAGUCCAGAAACAAAUCAUCACUGGGUCGACCAGCUUCAAAGCAGAUGGACCAAGUAACUGGGGAAGAAAGAUCAGCGACCCUGGAGGAUCAAGUUUUCCCACCCCUGCACCAGACUCUUCCCAGGUGAGAGGAUGUGAGAGGCCGGAGCAGGCGAUUGGACAGCAGCAGUGCAGCUGUGCUUCUCUCUGAGGAUGGGAAAAACAAACACACCCUCUGCUCCAUCUGGGCCUAAUGUGCUUCAGUUGGUUUAUUAAAGGAUCACAGUUACAGGGAUUAUGGGCAGAUGAUAAAGCAGCAGUUUCUCAUAUCGGGUCACUGUUUACUUACACAGCAGCAGGACUCCUGCCCAGAACACAGCAGCUGUUACCCAAGUACCAGUUCAGAACCACAAGUUUCCCUAUUAUUUACUCAAACUGGAUCAGGCCUCUGUGACUCUCGUCUCCUGGACCUGAUACGCCCUGGGCAGAUCAGAACACUGGGUGGGUUCAGGGUAACUCCAGGUGUUUGAGCAGGUUGUGUCUGAUGGUGGAAACAGAUGUGGCCACAUUCAGACAUGGAGGAUUUGUUUUCCUUGAUUUCACAGUGGUUGAGGCCUUUAAUGUGGCAGGAUGACAACGACAUGAGGAAGCGGAAGCUCAGACAGUUUUCAUCAGUUACAUUGUUAUGCGACAUCACAAGUCGUUGGAGCUGAACAUCAUUCAUAGAGCUGCUUCUGCAUCACUACACAUGGGCGUGUGUGUGUGAGAGAGACUGAAGUGGUGCCAAGUUUAGUUUCUGGAAAUUUCUGUGGGAGGGGUGGAGAGUGAGUGUCCUACUUGUCUUUGUGCUGCUCUUUUCCAGACACGUGGUUGGUACCAAUGUUGUGAGGACACAUCAGAUCAGAAAACAACGACCCUCCCGACAGUGUCAGCUGACGGCUCGGUGAUUGGUGGAGAAAGAGGCGUAGGCUGGAUCCCAUUGGCUACAGCAAAGAGGCACCAGGUGGCAAAGAGAGGAGGGGUAGUCAGGACUGAGGGGACAGAACUACCAGAAAGCAAGAUAGUACAGUAGAUGUGGAGGAUAGCUACGAAUACCUAGGUAUGUAUGUAUAUAUACAUAUGUAUGUAUAUAUAUUUUACUUAUAUACUCUAAAAGCAGGACUGUCCAUCAAAAUACGACAUUCAGCGUGGCAUACAGUGUCGUUAGUGGUCAUACAGUGGCUGUUACUGUAAAUGGCUGUUCUGUGGUCGUUCAGUGGCUGUUAAGCGGUUGUACAGUGGCCAUUAAAUGGUUGUUUAGGGGCCGUUCAGUGGCCAUUCAGUGGUCGUACAGUGACUGUUAAGCGAUAGUGCAGUGGUUGUUCAGUGACUGUACAGUUGUUUUUCAUUGGCUGUACAGUGGUUGUGCAGUGGUUGUACAGUGGCUGACAAGCAAUUGUUCAGUGGUUGUUUAGUGACUGUACAGUGUUUUUUCACUGGUUGGACAGUGGUCGUAAAGUGGCUGUUUAGUACAGCCACUGUACGCCACAGUUUGUUUAUUUGCAAUGCUAAUAAUACAAAAGUCCUGUUCAGACCUGUCUUCUAGCCACUUCACAAAAGAAAGAUUAAUUGAUGAUGGAUGGCACAAACUGAAACCAAACUAAAAAUAUAUGUGUUGACCUUAUAAGUCAUGAAUCUCAAUAAAAGCUAAUCAAAUCAUAGCAUUGUCCUACAGUUGAUGACACAUUCACAGCAGUAGCUAAUCACAGAGCAGCAUCACUGCAGGAAUACUACAGUCUGCAGUAGAAGCUCUACCUGUGUGUGCACCACCGUUGAUUUUGGAAGACGCUGUGAAGGCUGGGGAGCCAAUUAAAGAGGACUUGGGCAUCACACCAGUAGCUGAGGACCAAUCAGAAACUCUGGUCACCAGUAUGUACAAGAACAAACAAACCAGUCACAGAGCAGGACUCCUGAACUGCCAAGAACCAGUGGUAAACCAGUGUUCUUACUACAGAAGCUAGUACUAGCACUAAGACCUAUCCUUCUACUGGAACCAGUGCUGGGAAUUAUUAUUCUAGAUAAUUCCUGAAAACAGAGGAUUUUCAGGAUAAUUGGUUAAUUUCCCAUUGAUGCUUUUCAUACUUAUAUUUCUGGCAGUGAACCAACCUGUCCUUUUAAUUCUUGCCAAACAGUACAUUCAGUUGACUGUAGAACUGUGGCCAACAACACAAGCUAUUUGAAGAAAUAUUCCAGAAAGUGGUGGUAAGGCCAGACCUAAUGAGCGAUUUUACUUCUGCUGACACCAGAACGAGUGAUUCAGCGGUUCAUGCAUUCAGUAGUAGUACUCCCACUGGGAUCAGGGCUGCAAAAACUAGAAGCAGUGUUAGAACACAGUACACAACAAUCUGGAAGCGGCUCAGACGGCACAAACACUACCCAAGGAAGCACCAGUGUUGCUUGUGUUUCUUACCUCC